GCCAAACAGCUAGCUUAACCACCCCAACUAAAACAACAACAAAAACACCAUAACACAGCCAAAAUCAAAAAAACAAACCAUUUUCCCACCUGAGUAUGGGCGACAGAAACGGUCAACUAAGCAAUAGAGAAAGUACCGCAAGGGAAAGCUGAAAAAGUAAUGAAAAAACCCAUAUAAGCACCAACAAAGCAGAGGCUAAGCCUCGUACCUUUUGCAUCAUGAUUUAGCCAGUACCAAACAGGCAAAGAGACCUUUAGUCUGACCCCCCGAAACCAAGUGAGCUACCCCGGGACAGCCAUCUGGGCCAACCCGUCUCUGUGGCAAAAGAGUGGGAAGAGCCCCGGGUAGAGGUGACAGACCUACCGAACUUGGUGAUAGCUGGUUAUCUAAGAAAUGGAUAGAAGUUCAGCCUCGUUCUCCUUAAAUAAAACAAGUUACAUCUUAAUAAUAUUAUAGAAAAAUACGAGAGUUAAUCAAAGGGGGUACAGCCCUUUUGAUAAAGGACACAACCUUACACAAGUGGAUAAGGAUCAUAAACCACAAAAUCCCAGUUGUUUCAGUGGGCCUAAAAGCAGCCACCUGAACAGAAAGCGUUAAAGCUCAAACAACAAAAAAUUAAUUAUCCUGAUAAAUAAUCCUACUCCCUUAAAAAUAUUAGAUCGCCCCAUGUCAACAUGGAAGAGAUUAUGCUAAAAUGAGUAACAAGAGGACACCAUCCUCUCCAGGCACAAGUAUAAGCCAGAUCGGACAAACCACUGGCAACUUAACGAACCCAAUAAAAGAGGGCACAGUGAAUAAACACUAACAACAAGAAAAACCCACCUAAAAAAUCGUUACCCCCACACUGGAGUGCCACACAAGGAAAGACUAAAAGAAAGGAAAGGAACUCGGCAAACACAAGCCUCGCCUGUUUACCAAAAACAUCGCCUCCUGCAAACCACUAAGUAUAGGAGGUCCAGCCUGCCCAGUGACCACAAGUUUAACGGCCGCGGUAUUUUGACCGUGCAAAGGUAGCGCAAUCACUUGUCUUUUAAAUGAAGACCCGUAUGAAUGGCCAAACGAGGGCUUAACUGUCUCCCCUUUCCAGUCAGUGAAAUUGAUCUCUCCGUGCAGAAGCGGACAUACAACUACAAGACGAGAAGACCCUUUGGAGCUUAAGGUACAAACCCAGCCACGUUUAAUGACCCCCCAAAUGGCACAAACCCAGCGGAACUUGGGCUUUUACCUUCGGUUGGGGCGACCACGGAGAAAAACCAAUCCUCCGAGAAGAUAGGGCCAACUAAGCCUAAAACCAAGAAAAACACUUCUAAGUCACAGAAAUUCUGACUAACAAUGAUCCGGCCCCAGGCCGAUCAACGAACCAAGUUACCCUAGGGAUAACAGCGCAAUCCCCUCCCAGAGUCCAUAUCGACGAGGGGGUUUACGACCUCGAUGUUGGAUCAGGACAUCCUAAUGGUGCAGCCGCUAUUAAGGGUUCGUUUGUUCAACGAUUAAAGUCCUACGUGAUCUGAGUUCAGACCGGAGCAAUCCAGGUCAGUUUCUAUCUGUAACGCUACUUUUCCUAGUACGAAAGGACCGGAAAAGUGGGGCCUAUGCUAAAAGCACGCCCCCUCCUCAAUUGGUGCCACCAACUAAACCAAGUAACAGGACGCACAUUAAAUCAGCCGAAACCAGGCCAU
rnacentral:rRNA from 1 species